rnacentral:lncRNA from 1 species
CUAGAAUCUUUUUUUCUUACGUAAUUUAUCAUUUGUUUCAUUUACAAUUUCAAAAUGACCAGAUCAAAACAAAUACACUAUGAUCAUUUGCUGUUUUGUCUCCAGAUAUCUCCAGUCUGCAGUAUGCCGGUAACAACUUACUCCCCUGUCCCACUCCACCACCACAGGACUUCACCCUGUUGCCCAGCAAGCGGGAGGAGGGCCCAUGUUCAGCCAGCCUCUUUGACUUCUCCUCUGGACUGGUGUCUACCCCAUCGAUCAUCGUCAUGGCUCUUAUGUUGUGGUUGAUUCACUGAACGACAUUAGAACCUAAACAUAUAGCUAACAACAGUCUAUAAAGCCCGAUGACCUACGAUGAUUUACCAGAGAGAUUAUAUUAAUGUAUGGUAAAUGUUUGUGCCUUGUAUAUUACCAACCCUAAUGUCAUCCUGAUGGAAAUUACAAUAGUUUAGCUAAAGAAAUGUACUUAUGAGAUAAUCCAAUUGUAGAUUUACUUUAAAACGGUAUGGUUAUUUUGAUGGUAAGCAUUAUAGUCAGGACCAAACUUUGUCAUACUGAUUUAUUAAACAAAUGAUGUAAUGGAAUUAUAACUGUAACGGCUGUCGUAUAGAGGGGACCAAAACGCAGCGUGUUGAGUGCUCAUUAUGAUAUUUAUUAACUCAAAAACACUAAAGACAAAAUAACAAAAGGCAAACGAUCAGAAUACAGUUCUGGCAGGUACAGAGACUAAACGGAAAAUACCUGCCCACAUACACAGGUGGGAAAAAACCCUACUUAAAUAUGAUCUCCAAUUAGAGACAACGAGGACCAGCUGCCUCUAAUUGGAGAUCAUCCCCCAAAAAAACGAAAUAGAAACCUAGAACUUAAACAUAGAAAAACACAAAACACCCCCUGUCACGCCCUGACCUACUCUACCAUAGAAAACAAUAUCUUACUAUGGUCAGGAUGUGACAAUAACUAAUAAUCAACAAGUGACAAUCAAUGAUUCCAAUAUAGUAAGUAGCUAAAAUAGUAAGUCUGUACUUAAAAUUAUUACAAAUAAUCAACACAUGAUAACUAAUGAUUCCAAUAUAGUAAGUAAGAAAUACAGCUAGUAAGUCUGUACUUCCUAUGGGAUUGCAAAACCUAGGAAUUGGUUGAUUUGUAUAUUUUGCAUGUGACAUAAAAUACUGAACAUACAAUACAAUAUAUAAAAUGCUUUAACUUGUGUAUAUUACAAUAUUUAAUUAACUAAAGUGUACUUUUUGCAUCAAACAAAUGGGGUCAUAUUUGGAUUGUCCUUGACAAGUUAUAGGGCAUUUACUCCACUGAGUUUUACCCUGCAUCUUUUCCAUGUCACAAUGGUAAAGGAUAUUUACUCUGUUGCUAUGCAAUUCUGCCUCUUUCACUCAAGCAGACAGUUGGUGUAUGCACAUUUGUCUAUGUCUCAGCAAUGUUUCAAAAGUGAGUAUUCUCUGUCACAUUUACACUAUAUUCUUUAAGGCUUCAGUCAUAUUUUAUUAUCAAAUAAAGAUUUUA